UGAGGAAUAUUGGACAAUGGGUUAACGCCUGAUCCAGCCAUCCCGCGUGCAGGAAGACGGCCUUAUGGGUUGUAAACUGCUUUUAUACAGGAAUAAAUGUGGGUACGUGUACCUAUUUGAAUGUACUGUAAGAAUAAGCACCGGCUAACUCCGUGCCAGCAGCCGCGGUAAUACGGAGGGUGCAAGCGUUAUCCGGAUUUAUUGGGUUUAAAGGGUCCGUAGGCGGGUUAAUAAGUCAGUGGUGAAAUCCUACAGCUUAACUGUAGAACUGCCAUUGAUACUGUUAGUCUUGAGUUAAUAUGAAGUGGCUGGAAUGUGUAGUGUAGCGGUGAAAUGCAUAGAUAUUACACAGAACACCAAUAGCGUAGGCAGGUCACUAAUAUUAUACUGACGCUGAGGGACGAAAGCGUGGGGAGCGAACAGG
rnacentral:rRNA from 1 species